AUUGAACGCUGGCGGCAUGCCUUACACAUGCAAGUCGAACGGCAGCACGGGAGCAAUCCUGGUGGCGAGUGGCGAACGGGUGAGUAAUAUAUCGGAACGUGCCCAGUCGUGGGGAUAACGUAGCGAAAGCUACGCUAAUACCGCAUACUAUCUAUGGAUGAAAGCGGGGGAUCGCAAGACCUCGCGCGAUUGGAGCGGCCGAUAUCAGAUUAGGUAGUUGGUGAGGUAAAGGCGUCACCAAGCCGACGAUCUGUAGCUGGUCUGAGAGGAUGACCAGCCACACUGGGACUGAGACACGGCCCAGACUCCUACGGGAGGCAGCAGU
rnacentral:rRNA from 1 species